rnacentral:lncRNA from 1 species
UAAUGUUGAAGAGCAUCUUAGAGAAAUCAUGUACAGUUUAUACAUUUCCAGUUAUAUUUUUAUGUCUAUAUUUUAUAAAGCAUAUACCUAUGUUAAUUGCCAUCCCUACAAAGAAAAGCAUUAAUUGUAUUUCAGAAGCUCCCCAAAUGUCCUUUCCCAUUAAUAACUGCAUCCCCCUAACAGAUAUACAUACUAUCCUGCUUUUUCAUAGUUAUCAUAUUCUUUAUUAUUGAUUAUUUUAGUGUUUUUCAUAUUAAUUUUUUUUUGCAGUCACGGAAAAUGAACAUAGCUUUGAUGCAUCCUAAGCCAAUGGUAUAUCAUUGAGUAUACCUCCAUCCCUCUUUGUAGUUCUAUUAACUGUGUUUGAAUCUCUAAAGAGUGGUAGUUUUGACUGCUCAGAACUUUAUUUUAAUAAUAAAAUUAUACUGUCUGUAUUGGUUGUACUUUCUCUGUUCCACAAUAUAUUUCUAUGACUCAUUUAUAGUCUGUUUAGCUCUAAUUCAGAAGUUUUUAUUGGCAUAUAACAUUUCAUUGGCUGAUAAUAUCACAGUUUAUUUUUCCUAUUCUUGAGAUUAUUUCUAGUUUUGGGCAAUUAUAAUCAAUGAACUUUUUUUAUGUCUGCACAUGUAUAUCUAUUAGUGUGUAUGUGUGUGUGUCUAUGUGUGUAUUUCUGAUUAAAGAAAUAUAUUUCUGCAUGUUAGCAGAUUAUGCUGCACUGUUUCCCCAAAUGGUGGUUAAGUCAGUUUACUUCAUCAUCAGUGUUUGAAAGUUCAAUAAUAAUAAAAAAGACACUGAAGUCCAUAAUCAGUUCACAAUUUUUCCUUUAAAAGUUGUUACUUAAGCCCAGUUUAUAUUGUUUUGUUUAUCUUCUCCUUAUUGAUCUGUGAGAGUUCCUUUUCUGUAUGGCACAAUAAUAUUUGCAGAUUGCCCCCCCCCCCUUUUACUGUUGAAAUUGUAUCUCAGAUGAUCAGAAGGUCUUCAUUUUAAUGCAGUCAAGUAAUCUUAUAUUAUUUUUUCCUGGUUACCAAAGUAUUACAGGAAUUUUAGAAACACAGAAUAAAUAGCACAAGAUUCAACUACCCCCAGGAUUACCAUGGUUACCAUAUCAUAUGAACGUUCUUUAAUGCUAUUUAUCACCUGAUCUUUCCUUUAUAUUUACUGAUGCAGAGUUGCACACAUGUGCCAUUAGGAGGCAUAUAGAGCUGGGUGAGUCAGAAACAGACAAAAUUAUAAGUAUGUCUGGUACUCUGCUAUAUGGAUUCUGAUAAAUGAAUGUGCAGAUUACCAUAGAAGCCAAGGAGGAGUGCUUGCUUCUAACGGGAUGGGCUAGGAAGGAUACUAUCCAGGAGAUUCUAUAAGUCAAGCAGUUGCGAAGAAGUAAGAGUAUACAACCAAUGGCUCUUAUGACAUGAUAAAAUCUCACAUGGUAUGAUGUGGUUAGCAUAUGACUACUGGAAGCUUGGAGGUGAGAACAAAAAGAGAAGAGAUGAUACUGAGAUACUACACAACAGUUGGAGACUAUUCUAUCUUCCUUAACUGUUUUCUCUGCUUUCCUCCAGUCACUUUUGGUUUGAUGGCAUCCUCUCAUAACAAUGCCAACAGUCAGGGCAUUGGAAAGAACAAACAAAACCUAACACUUUGAAAGCAUUCCUUCCUUAGAAGACAAUGAGUUAUUUUGUUUCCUUAACACUUGGCUGAAAUUGUCUCCUGAUUGCCUUUAAGGUUUGAUCAAGAAGAAAUUACAGGACCUAGCAAGAGAAAUAGAUUGUGAUGAGCUGUUGGGUGAAGCUUUGGAGUAUGUAAGGUAGGGCUAUGUCUCUGAUAUCUAGAAUAGCAUGGAUGGCAAAAGCUAGACUUCAGAGGCAAACCAAUGUACAAAUCUGUAUUGAAUCUUACCUCUGUCAUUCCCUAGUCAUGUCAUCUUUCUGAGUCUUAGUUUCCUUCUUUGUAGCAGAGAAUGACAAAUUAACUUAAGUUAUUGUCAUGCUUCUGUGUAAUACUUACAUAUACAACUUGGAAGAAUAUCCAGUAUUUAUAUCAUACAUCUUUUCUGCUACUAUUGCCUACCUAAAACACAGGACAGAAGGCAAAAAAAAAAGUGGAAUGCUCUCCAAUCCUAGAAUUCACCAUUUUCUGAAUAUAUUUUAUGUAAUGUUCUCCAUUCUUUUUUAAACAAAAUUUUUAUUAGAUAUUUUCUUCAUUUACAUUUCAAAUGCUAUCCUGAAAGUCCCCUAUACCCUCCCCCCGCCCUGCUCCCCAACCCACCCACUCCCACUUCCUGGCCCUGGCAUUCCCCUGUACUGGGGCAUAUAAGAAACUAAGUUGAAAUGGAGUUUGGCUAGUUUUUUUCUUCCAAAUUAUUUUCAAAAUAUAUUUUAAAAAAUUGUUUGUAUUAUAUGUGUGAUUAUGUUGCUUGUCUGUAUUUCUGUGCACAGCUGGCAUUCCUGGUGCCCACUAAGGCCAGAAGAGGACAUUGUAUCCUCUAGAACUGGAAUUAUAGAUGAUUGUGGGCCACCAUGUGGGUGCUGGGAAGCAAACCAAGGAUCUUUGCAAAAACAGGCAUUGCUCUU